GAUGAACGCUGGCGGCGUGCCUAAUACAUGCAAGUCGAGCGAACAGACGAGGAGCUUGCUCCUCUGACGUUAGCGGCGGACGGGUGAGUAACACGUGGAUAACCUACCUAUAAGACUGGGAUAACUUCGGGAAACCGGAGCUAAUACCGGAUAAUAUAUUAAACCGCAUGGUUCAAUAGUGAAAGACGGUUUUGCUGUCACUUAUAGAUGGAUCCGCGCCGCAUUAGCUAGUUGGUAAGGUAACGGCUUACCAAGGCAACGAUGCGUAGCCGACCUGAGAGGGUGAUCGGCCACACUGGACCUGAGACACGGUCCAGACUCCUACGGGAGGCAGCAGUAGGGAAUCUUCCGCAAUGGGCGAAAGCCUGACGGAGCAACGCCGCGUGAGUGAUGAAGGUCUUCGGAUCGUAAAACUCUGUUAUUAGGGAAGAACAAAUGUGUAAGUAACUAUGCACGUCUUGACGGUACCUAAUCAGAAAGCCACGGCUAACUACGU
rnacentral:rRNA from 1 species